CUACGGGUCGCAGCAGUGAGGAAUAUUGCACAAUGGGGGGAACCCUGAUGCAGCAACGCCGCGUGGAGGAUGACGCAUUUCGGUGUGUAAACUCCUUUUAUAUGUCAAGAAAAUGACGGUAGCAUAUGAAUAAGCACCGGCUAACUCCGUGCCAGCAGCCGCGGUAAUACGGAGGGUGCAAGCGUUACUCGGAAUCACUGGGCGUAAAGUAAGCGUAGGCGGGUUGGAAAGUCAGGUGUGAAAUCCUACAGCUUAACUGUAGAACUGCACUUGAAACUUCUAAUCUAGAGUAUGGGAGGGGGAGAUGGAAUUAGUGGUGUAGGGGUAAAAUCCGUAGAUAUCACUAGGAAUACCUAAAGCGAAGGCGAUCUCCUGGAACAUUACUGACGCUAAGGCGUGAAAGCGUGGGGAGCAAACAGGAUUAGAUACCCCUGUAGUC
rnacentral:rRNA from 1 species